rnacentral:rRNA from 1 species
CGGACCUCAGAUCAGGCAAGACCACCCGCUGAGUUUAAGCAUAUCACUAAGCGGAGGAAAAGAAAUUAACUAGGAUUUCC